rnacentral:lncRNA from 1 species
GGGACCUGGAUGGUCUCGCCUCUCCCCCCCGCUUUUGCUUGGGCCAAUCCGACCUCCUCACCUCCUCGUAGCUCCCCCAGCACACCUUGCCUUUGCCAUCUCUGCAUGUGCCGCGCCUGCUGUCUGGAAGACCGGCAUCCAUUCCCCUCUGCCUUCCAAACUCUCCCUGUAGGACCAGCUCAAAAGGCAUCUCCUCUUCAGCUGUUCCUGCUGCCAGGGCUAAUAUCGUCUUCCUCUUUUUUCCCCACUAGCGCUUCUUUGUCUAUUUUGGAGAGGUUUUGUUUUGGAUAACUUUUUAAUUGAGAUGUAACUCACAUUAUCAUAAUAUUCGUCUUUUUUAAAUGCACAGUUCAAUGGUUUUUAGUAUUCUAUUCACAAAGUUGUGCAACUAUCAGCAUAAUUAAUUUCAGGAUAUUUUCCUCACCCUAAAAAGAAACUCCGUACCCUUUAGUUGUCACUCCUCAUUUCUGCCUCUCCCCAGCCUCUGAAACCCACUAAUCUACUUUCUGUUUCUGGAUUUGCCUAUUGUAGACAUUUCAUAUGGAUGGAAUCGUGCAUAUAUGGCCUUUGGUGACUAGUUUCCUUCUCUUAGCAUAACAUUUUCAAGGCUCAUCAUGAUGUAGCCUGAAUCAGUAUUUCAUUCCUUUUUAAGGAUCAAAUAAUAUUCAUUUCUACCUUGGGGCCAUUAUGAAUAAUUCUUCCAUCAACAUUUGUGUACAAAUUGUGUGUGGAAGUGUUUCCAAUUCCCUUGGGUAUAUAUGUAGGAGUGGAAUCGCUGGCUCAUACAGUCCUUCUGUGUUUAAGUUUUUGAGGAGCCACCACUGUUUCCCAAAGCAACUGUUUUUGGCUUUUUAACCAAUAUGUAAGCUCAUUCUCAUUGUUAAAAAAAAAAAAAAAAAAGUCCCCACAUGCCAGUGAAAUGUUCAAGUCCUCCCAAUCACAUCCCCAUCCCAGU